UUGUGCGGAUAAUGUUUUUCUCUGCAACUCUCACAUGGUCGCCCACUGAAGCUAAGCAGGGCUGCGCCCGGUCAGUACCUGGAUGGGAGACCACAUAGGAAAGCUAGGUUGCUGCCGGAA
ensembl:rRNA 5S_rRNA 5S ribosomal RNA